GAGGAGGAGAAGGAGGAGGAGGAAAAAAAGGAGGAGGAGGAAGAGGCCGAGCAGGAGCGCCUGCGCACGGGGGUAGCGAGAGCCGAGUUGCACUGACCGGCUUGGGCUGCAUGCGCCCCCGGCCACCCUGAUCUAGCGGCCCCGACCCGAGCUCGGGAUCGUCUGCCCUCGCCGCACCCCGAAGUCCCGGCCCCCCCGCGGGACGGGGUGGGGCGGGUGGCCCCGGCCCCCGAAGGAGUGAAAGGGGCGGGUGGAGAGCGCGCGCACCCUAGCCCCAGCCCCCGCCUCCGGGGAGGAGAGCCCGGGGAUGCGCCCCGGUGCCGCCGCGGGGCUCUGAGCGCGGGGGCCCGCCCGGGGUGCCCCGAGCCGAGAGGCCGCCGCCGCCCCCGCCCGCAGCCUCCGCGGCAGCCCCGCCACGCGCCCCGCUGCUUCCCCGGGCGGGAGCCGCGCCUGGACCGGGGAGCCGGGCCCCCGCCGCGCGCCCCCCAGAGCCGGCGGGAGGAGUGGAGGAGCAUCCCCAGCCCCCGGCGACGGCCGCCAAGAUGUCUGUGCCGGUGAGUACCGCGCCCGCCGCCGCCGCCGCCGCCGCCGCCCCCGCCGCCUUUGUGCCAGGCUCGCCAGAGGGGCGGAGCGGGGAGCUAGGGGACCCCAGGAGUCGGGCUGCCGGCGCGUGCCGCUCCCUGGGGACCUGGCAGCUGGCCUGGGAGGAGUGCGCGGGGCCCACCGGCGCGAGCCGGGGAGUGGGGCUGCACCACACCGGCCUCAUUCGUGCGCAGUGACUUUGGGGGGUGCUGCUGGGGGUGGGGGGAGCAGGGAGCGAUGUCCCUGGGCUUCUCACUCCUCCCGAGACGAUCGGAGCAGGAGGACUUCCCCCACUUCCUCUCCCAGUCAGGGCUUUGCUUUUUUGGCUCCCGAGACUGCAAGGAUGGAGAGGCGGGGAGGAAUCUCCGAGUCACCUAUUUUUGUGCCGUGGCUUGACAGCAAAAUGGACAGCUCAGAGAGCCGGGGAAAACUCUCCCGGCCUUGCCAGAUGGCUCUCCCUUCAAACUUUUCCUCCUGCUGGAUAAAAUCCCCCGGAAACUUUUGUUAAACUUCUCCGAACUCCUUAACAUUUUCCCCUGCUCUCUCGGGCCCUCCCUCCCUCCUUCCUCUGCUCUCCUCCUUCCAGCUGCACGGCCCCUUCUGGGUUUCCAGCUCUAGGCCGGGGUCUGGUUUGGCUAAUGUCUGGGGUGUCUGCCCAGUCGGUGCUGAUGGUGCCAGCCGCCCUGGGCCAUGAGCAACUCUCUCUUCCAAGGCUGGGCCCCAGCAGGGGAGCACUAGGGAGACACCAGCUCAGCAGGUUCUUGGUCUGAGCGCUUUCCCCCACUCUUGGCUUCUGUUUACUACAAUGAGUGAUUCUUCCCACCUUUGCCACCUGGGACCCAGGCUGAGUGAGCUGGGGGAGGGGGAGGGAGGUGCCUACUUCAGGAUGAUCUGGAAAGGAAAAUCUUGGCAAGGUGGGAACCUGUGCGAGAGUUAGAGCUUUAUGGUGGGGAGGUUGCUGGGGAAGGUUUUAAUCCCAGCCAAGGUUGAGGUUUUUAUUUCCCUCCUCCCCCAGGGGAGGAUUGGGGUGGGGAAGGAGUUUUCUCCAUGGAAAGAGAUGGACAUCAUCAGAGGCAGAUAUUGAAAAUGAAGCGUUUGGGGAAAAAGAAAUGAGGAGGAAAAAAAGAAACAAAUCAAGUGAAAAGUGAUUACAUCUAUUUCACAGUUCAAGGCAGAUCACCAAGGGACUUUAGUAUUGUGUUUCUUUCCACCAGCAGGUAGGAAACACAUUUCUCUGUUGGCCCAGGGCUCUUUGACUGACUCCUGUGACAAACUUGGCUUCUCUGGAGUCUUACUUAUGGAAAACCGAUGCUCAGUUUCCCUAAUCCAUGACCCUUUUUGUCCCCCUGCCUUGGGAACAUGGCUACUGUUAUUAGGCCUCAUCACCAGUUUGGGAAAUAAUUUCUGUCGCCAAGAUCCAAAUCCUGCCAUGUUAGAUUGUUUUUGUGUGGCUUCUUCCAGGGCUCAGGUCAUAGGACCUUAAAGAUACUGCUGUGGUGCCUUGGGCCAUGUUAUUAGUUGCCCUACGAGGCUUCCCAUUGCCAGAUAGCAUCCCGUUUUGCAGAUAGAUAAACUGAUAAGGUAAAUUCUCACAUUUGGAGGAGGGGUUGUCCUGUGUGUUAAAGUGGAAAGGACAUUGAAAUCUAGACCUAAAGCAUCCUUCCUUUGUGAUCUUGAACAAAAUCUCUUUACCUUAAUGGGGCCUCAGUUUCCUCAUCCUUACUUUCAUGGCUGAGCUCAGGUACUGCUACCUCCAGGAAGCUUUCCCUUUUCCCUCCAAUUGUAAUGCUUUCUCUUUCUUUUCUUUCUUCCUUCCCUUCUCUUUCUAUUCCUUCCUUCCUUCUUUCUUCCCCCCUCUCCUUUCCUUCCUUCCUUUCUUUUUUGUUGUAUAUUAUCCCAAGAGAAUGUAAGCCCCUUGAAGACGAGGAUUUAUUUUUCCUCUUCUCAGUAUCUAGCAAGAAAUAGGCUCUUAAUUAAAGUUUGUUGACGUCAAUCCAUGGAAUAGAGGGAAGAAGGAAAGAAAGAGAUAAGGAUUGACAAAGUCAUCUCGAAGGGUCCCUUUUCAGCUAUGAUGUCACAAAUUUGGGGAUUGCACAUCUUUAAUAUUUGAGUCCCUAGCCUCUCUUGUCCCAUAUUUAGUCAAGAAGCACAUGGAUCUCCAGUUUUACCAACUUAUUUCUGGGUCCUUGAUUUCCCCUUCUUGACCACUGUCCCCCACCCUCCUUCCCCAGCCAUUUUCUUAUUUUUUUACUAUGAAGCAAUCGUACUGUAUCUUCAUCACAGGGGGUAGAUUGAGUCUUAAUUAACUACUGUAAAGUGUUUGGAGAUUAUUGGAUGAAAGAUGCUAUGUAAGUACUGUGCCUUAUUAUUAUGGAAUUAGAGGCUGGCUCCCGCCCACAGUAGAAGCAGGGUAAUUCAGAGUUACAGAAGAAAAAAUUAGGGCUUUCAUUGGGUGUUGUGAUUCUCUUCCCCCUUGCUUAACAAUUCUGUUUAAAAGUGUUUCCAGCCUAAUUAUUAUAGAAUCAUCUAAUCUUUAAAACAGAAACAAACAAUUCUUGCCAAAUCCCAUCUCUCUGCCCUUUUCUUGAAGAAGCUGCCCAGGGUCCCAGUGUUUUCAUGCCCAGUUUGGGGGAACUUAGUUAAGUUAGGAAGAACACUGUUCUGCCCCGGGAAUAUCAGAAAUUCAGCUGUCAUAUUCCUGAGUGAGACACUGCUACUAUUCAAAGAGGUUUCCCUAUGCAGCAAGCGAGGAUAAAAGUUGCGUAAAAUUGCACUGUGCAUGACCCACUGCAGAAGAUUUAAAAGACAGGGACAUCAUUUUAAAAGAUCAUUUGGUUCAGCCAAUACUUAAGAGCCUAUUAAAGACUAGACACUAGGGCACCUGGUCAAGAGACAGGAGGACCUGAAUUCAAAUUCAGCUUCAGACACUUACUGGCUGGGAGAUCCUAGACAAGCCACUUCCCCUUGCUUGCCUCAGUUUCCUCAUCUGUCAAAUGAGCUGGAGAAGGAAAUGGCAAACCAUUCCAGUGUCUCUGCCAAGAAAACUCCAAAGGGGGUCAUCAAGAGUAGGACAUGACUGAAAUGACUGAACGACAACAUAAGUACCAGAAACUGGGGAUAUAAAGAAUAAAGAAAAAAUAAAGAGCAUUUAUUAAGCUCUUUAAUGUUAUCUUACUUGAUUCUUGCAACAAAUAAGUUAGAUAGGCGCUAGUAUUAUCUCCAUUUUACAGAUGAGAAAACUGAGGCUGAGACAAGCUAAGUGAUUUGCCUAGGGUCACACAGUGUUUGAGGCUAAUUUGCCACUCUGGUUCUUCUUGAUUUCCCAAGCCCAGCACAUUACAAAGAAAUCCUAGCAGUCCCUGUCCUCGAGGGGAUUUUAUUCUACUGAUAUAAACUAGAAAGCAGUUAAAGGCUGAGGGAGAGCUAAUCUGGGAGAAUUAGGAGAGCCUCUUGCAGUGGGCUGAGUCUCCAGCGGAGCCUUGGCCAGAGCCGGAGGUAGGAGCCGGGAAGAAUCGGUUGGAUCAUGUCUUGAUUGCCCCCCGGGUCCCUGAUUGUACUCAGGGGCAGAGUGCUGGGCAGGGAGGUGCUGGGCUUGGGACAGUGAGGAUGCUGUAUACUAAUCAGCUUGGUGAGUUCCCCAAGUGACCUCAUUUCCCCCCUCUGUGGGCACUGUUAUUGUUACCAGGUGGCUGGGCCUCCAUCUGGCUCGGCCUCCCUGUCACAUUUGGUGAGAUCAGCCUGUGAGCCUCCCUGGGAGCAGCCAAGGGGGUGGGGCAGAUGGGGGAUCGGGAGAAGGUGAAGGAGGGACACCCUGAUGGGCUGGCUGGCCAUCAUCUCAUCAGGCGCCCUUCCAUCAGCAACCAAAUGUGGACAAAACAGGGAAGCCCAUUUAACGGCUGACUUCUAAUUAGCUGGAAACCUUCUGGCAGAGACAGCUAAGCAUGGAUUUGUUUUGGGGUGGAAACGUGGCUAUUUUAUAAAUUUGUCUUCCGAGAAGCUUUAGUCCUCACAUCAGAGCAGCGAUAUCCUGGGCCCUCGGGCGAGAGCUGUGGGUGGGUGGUGGCGGGGGAGAGUUGGAGUGGGUUUUCCCCCCCUUCAUUUUUGGACUGGAAGAGAAAGUCUGAAAUUGCUUUCAUGUGCUGAGGGAUGGCCACAGGGAAGUUUCCAGGCAGAGCUGUCUCUCUCUUUUACUGCCUGAACACACUCAGCUCAAAAUAGCUGUGGAUCAUGUCUGUGCCCACGGCCACGUUUGGAUUUUCGGCUCAAGCAUUCAUUGCGGCUCUCGUUAUCCAAAAUAAUGCUGAGACAGGACAUUUAGCCCCAAAGAAACGACAAGAUGCUCUGGGAGCGGAAGCUAGCAAUGAGCUCCUCCGGAGGGAAGAGUAAGAGGAGGCGACGUUGGGUUCGCUUCUUUAUUGGUGGAUUUGGGGGAAUUUGGGUAGGGCCUGGGUUGAGUGACCGAUUGAAUGGUUGAUUUUCCCAGACAUCUAGGUGAAGAAAAAGAUGGCUCUGAAGGGUCACGUAGAGGCCUGCUGAAUUUUAGGCAGAAUUCCAGAAGGGUGGGCAGCGGGAUCCAUCUAUUGUGCUGAAGAGCUCAGGCAGCUGGGUCCUUUCACUCAGCCUCUCUCCCUUUACCUUGGGAGUGAAUUCAGUAGGGAGGAGGAACUUUGGUUCCUAGACAUUUUGUAGCUAGUCUCCCUACUGAUGCUUCCUACAGUGAUGUCCCUGGGGCUGGAAACGUGUUUGCAGAUAAGGUGGGAAGAAGCUUUGAAGACCUAUUGGAUUUGGACAGUGGAACCGUGGGGUUGAGGAGGGGAAGGUCUUCCCUCAGCAAAUAGAUGCAUCAUAAAGUCUCUCCUGCUCUGCAGAGGAUUCGGCAGAGCCCAGGGGACUCCACUUUGCUCUGGGCCUUGGUUUCCUAGUGUGAAUGUCUGGGUGGCACAGCAGAGCCUGCCUUGGCGUUUAUUAUCUACAUGACCUUGAAAAAGUCAUGACCUCUUAAAUUUAGUUUCCUCAUCUGUAAGAUGGGGCUAAAGAGAGAACCCAAGUAAUAGAGUUGUUAUAAAGAUCAAAGGUAUAAAGCAUUAAAAGAACCUUGAAAUACUUUAGAAUGUUAGUUACAUUUAGUUCUACCUUAUUUAACAUAUAUUGGAUUACAUGCCAUCUAGGGGAAGGGAUGAAGGGAAGGGGGAGGUAAUUGGAACACAAGGUUUUUCAAGGGUUGAAGAAAUUAUCCUUGCACAUGUUUUGAAAAUAAAAAACUUAAAUAAAAUUUUUUCUAAAAAAAAAAAAAGAAAUGUUAGUUAUUAUUAUUAUCAUAGUAUCUGAAACGGGCAGUUCAACCCCUUUCAGAGUAAAAGGGAAGAAUGGCAUUCUAUAGAGGCGACUUUGCUAUCGGGAUAGAGGCGCUCAGCAAAUAUGGCAUCUCAUUGGAAGCUAGUGUUUUCUUUGCUUCUCCCGUCCCCAUGGGUCAUUGUGCUGCAUCCUGGGAUGCUGAACUUUCCAAUGUGAGUCCAGCCUGCCCUUCCACCCUACCUCCCACCACUCUCCCACAUGCAUCUGUGCUCCAGCUGAGCUCCCUGUUUGUGGAACUCAUCUGACCCUUUCCUUCCCUUGCUCACGAAAUGUCUCUUCCUCUCUGCCCUCUCUUGUCACUCUUGAAUUCCAAGGAUGAGCUGCCAUCUCUUCCUUAAAAUUGUCCCUCAUCCUUCCCCACUGGAAGUAACCUUUCCUCACUCUGCAGAUCUCCCAGAAUUGAUUGAUCAUGCUUUUCUUUUAAACUUUUUAUUUUAACUUGGUGUCUCUAUCUCAUCCUUCUCUCUUAGAUAGGAAAGCUUCCUGAGGGAAAGGGGUGUGACAUAUUUUGUUUUUUGUAUAAUCUGAGAUGUACUGAGGUAUCAUGGAUAAAGAGGAACUGGGGUAUCACAGAGAGAAAGGUAUUGAGGUAUCACGGAUAGAGAGGUACUGGGGUAUCACAGAAGAGAGGAACUGGGAUAUCAUGGAUAGAGAGGUACUGGGGUAUCACAGAGAGAAAAGUACUGAGGUAUCAUGGGUAGAGAGGUACUGGGGUAUCACAGAGAGAGAGGUACUGGGGUAUCACAGAUAGAGAGGAACUGCAGUAUCACGGAUAGAGAAAUAUUGGGGUAUCACAUAGAGAAGCUCUGGGGUAUUAUGGAUAAAGAGCUCAUCAAACCAGGAAGGCCUGAGUUCCAGGGCUUCCUCUGACCCAUCCUGGCUGGGUGACUUCUGACAAGCCUCUUCCUGCUGCAGUCAAGUCUCCUACUUAGAGGCUGCCCCCCUGAAUCACUAAUGAAGUCACAGGCCCUUUUCCUACCUAUCUAGUUUGGAGUAGAAUUCCUGCACCCAACGGCUUAUUCAGUUGUUCACCUCACUCUUCGUGACAGGUCCAUCCUGGCAAAGAUGCUGGCGAGUCUGCUAUUUCCUUCUCCAGCUCCUUUAGCACAUGAGGAAACUGAGGCAAACAGAAUGAAGUAUCUUACCCAAGAUCACAAGCUAGGAAGUUGUCUGAGGCUGCAUUUGAACUCAGAUCUUCCCACUCCAAGCCCAAUUCACUGCGCCACCUAAUUCCCCUAUAGUUGGGGUUAGUAAAACUGAAUUAGUUAAAAAAAUUUUUUUUAUAAGUCUUGCUUCUCUGUACAUUUUCUUCUGUCCUUUUGGAAUAUCCAGGGAGAACGGGAAUAUUAGUAUCAUCAUGGCUGAAUCUCAGUUUCCCCUUAAUGACCCUAUAGCAGGUGUGACUGCUUCUAGCAAAUCCCUUUUUUUGAGGGGGGAGUUCUUAUUCUGACCUAGGGUGACGCUGGGGUCCCCGUGUAAAUUAGAGGCAGAGGGCCUCCAGAGUUACUCAUGUGAAUGCCCUGGCUGCUAAAAACUAGUGUAAUCUUAAUUAAGAGCUCGUGCUUUUUCAAGCACAGACAGGCUAAGGAGUGGCUACGACCAACCGAGGGAUGUGAGGGAGCCCGAGGGCUGGGGAUGGACGGAGAAGCAGGAUAUCAACCAUGUGUGUGUAUGGGAUGAUAGCACUGGCACCAGUGGGAUUUCAAUCAAGGAGACUUAGUAACUGAACAGGAUUAUAGGAGUUUGGGCUGUCUGAGAGAAGGGCUAACGUGGAAGAAAAGAGCGUAAAAAGUUGGGGGAGCCAUAUUGGACAUGAGGGAGGGGACUGUGAUUUUAUAGUUCUGGCUGUGCUGUGAAUUCACUUCAUCACCUUGAUUUUCCAUUUUUCCUCAUAGGUCUCAGUUUUUCCAUCUGUUCAAUGAGGGAGUUUGAAAUAAGAUCACAGAUCUUAGAGCUGAAAGGGGCUUCCUAUUUCAAAGGUAGUGGAUUCCAGAUUUUAGAAAUGGAAUCAUGAAGGGUCAGACACAUGGGAAGAACAAAAUCUCAACCAUUCCUAAGGUUUCCACCUUCCUAGAUGAAGCAUCCAUUACUCUCAGUCACACUCAGACAUCUUAGUCAAAUCAGGAAGACCCAAGUUCAAAUAUUAUCUCAGUUAGCUCAGUGUGACCUUAAUGUAUUCUGCCUCAGUUUCCUCAUCUGUAAAAAUAGGGAUAAUAAUAGUUAUGAGUAUCAAAUGGGUUGACAUAGGUGAAGAACUUUGCAGACCUCAGAGCACAAUAAUGUCUGCAUUCUAGCUGUCUUUUUUCUCAGUCACAGCCAGGUGUUGUUUUCUUAAUUUUUCUUCCAAUGAAACAUUUAUUUUAAUCUCCAUCUACUGGUUUGGCAAUACCGUGAAAGUUCUAAAAUUUUAAAUAGCACUACACUAAGUCUGAUGGGUUAAAACUCACAAUCAGGUAAACACACUCAACUGUGACAGCUCGAUGGCUCCACUGGCAUUCUGAAAAGAGGAAAAGAUAAAAGUAUCAGGUGCAUGGUCUGUUAUAAAACAGGCUUUUCCCUGGGCGGACAUAUCCCAGGAUUCAUUUAUUAUGUAGGAUAAACCAUUCAGAAUUGUUGCUUGGCUAAGAGGGUAUCUCCAGAGGGUCCCCGGCAGGGGCAACGGGCUCAUUUUGUUCCAGGGAGUGGAAACCAAAUAGAGCAGCAGCUGCUGGAAGUUCAGUUUCUGCCUUCUAUAAAGGAAGGCAUUGGGAGGAGUUUGGUACGCCACUGUCCAGCCCUCCAAUCAGAGGGGAAAGGAGAUGGUGAUAGUCAGAGGAGCUUGGAGGUGAUGAAAUAAUUUUGUUCUGUGGAGCUGAAACCAGGCAGAGCAGCAGAUAGAUACACCAUUCUCUCUAAUACGGUGAUCCUGGCUGCUUUGGUCUCUCACAAACAAAACGCUCCAUCUCUGGGCAUUUUCUCUGGGUCUUCCUCAUGCCUGGAGUGUUCUAUCUCCUCAUCCUCUGCCUCCUGGCUUCCUUCAGAUCCCAACUAAAAUCCUGUCUUCUGCCAGAAAGCCUUUUCCAACCACUUCUAAUUCUAUUUUCUUCCCUCCAUUAAUUUCCCACUUAUCUAGUAUAUAGUUUGUUUGUGGGUAAUUUUUGCUUAUAAUUUCCUACUUUAGAUUGUGAGCUUUUUGUGACUCUGUGUGUUUGUGUGUGUGUGUGUGUGUGUGUGUGUGUGUGUGUGUGUGUGUAUCUGCAUAUAUAUAUAUCCCCAUUGCUUAGCAUGGUGCCUGAUAAGCACUUAAUAAAUUUUCAUUGACUAACUGCUGUCCCUAUGUCAAAGGGAAUUUUAUUUGCAUAAUUUGAAAUUGCUUUCCAGAAUGAUUAUACCGAUGGUUUGAGGCAUUUUUAAAAUGAUUAUUCAUAGUUUGCCAUUUAAAAUUUGUUAAAAUUUUUUUCUUAAUUACACAUGAUGAUAAUUUUUACUAUUCAUUCAAACAUUUUUAAAAGUUUUUUUUCUCUCUUCUUCUUUUCCUUCCUUUUCCACCCCAAAACAGUAAGUAAUCUAUAUUAAAUUAAUAUAGAUUAUACAUGUUACAGUAUUUUUUUGAGAGCAGCUCAUAUCCUUUGACCACUUAUCUAUUGGUGAGAAAUGGCUUUUGGUGUAAGGUUUCUAUUAACUGCCUUUAUAUUUUGGAAAUCAAACUCUUUGUUAAAGAUAUUUGAUAUAAAGGUUUUUUUUUUUCCAUAGUCGGUCUAGACUCCCCCUUUUCUCCCACGUGUUAAUUUUGUUUGCGAACAAGCUUUUCAGGUUUAUCUCAUCAGCUAAGGAAGCUUUCAUAACUGACUGUGGUGGUUUAUUAUGGUAUUAUGGCAUGCUGUUAGUGAUGGGAGCUGGCAGGAGCUGGGGGUGGGUGUGGGUGUGGGGGGGUGUCCGAGGGAUAAGCCAGAUGCCAGUACCAUAUAGGUACAGGAUUGUUUGCUGUACCAGUGCUUCUGUUUGGCAUCCAAAAUCCUUAGUCAGACUUAAAUAUUUCUGCCUUUCUUGCUCUCUAAGAUCCAGUUUUCCUGGAUUUCUUAUUAUUUCUCUGUCUCCUGAGCACUUCGAUUGGCUGUUCCAGAUGCAUGGAAUGUGUCCCAUCCUUCCGAUUCCCUGCUUUUCUUCAAAGCUCAGCUCAGAAGUCAUUCCCUAUAGGGAAAUGGAAAAAGGAAAAGCCUUUCCCCACUAGGGCUUCCUCACCAAAUUACCUUGUGUUUAUUUUGUAUAUAGUGUGUCAGUACUUUUAUGUGAUCCCCUCUAGAAUGUAAGCUCCUUGAGGGUAGGGAUGAUUUCAUUUUGUCUUGGUCUCUCUAGUUGCCCAAGAAAUACCAUCCCUUCUCUCUUAAACCUAUUGCAAUCCUAUGCUCUCUUCAAAACUUAGUUGGAAUUCUUUCUCUUCCAGGAAAUCUUCCUCUUUUCUCAGUUCUCCCUUUUUAAAACUCUGAGGGUCCCUGAUUUCUACCCCAUGGUCCCAUAGAUUCAGCAAGGGCCAUAUUUUACAUCCCUUGUCCUCCCCAUAGCUUGGACCAGUUUUUGGAGAAUCUGAACUGGAAGAGAUCUUUGUAGAAGCUGUCUGGUCCAAACUGCACAAGAAUACCUGUUCAGAAGGUGCUUCCUUAUAAUUCCUACCCACUGCUUCUAGAUCACCCUCUUGGGGUCCCAAAGAAUCAGCCUCAUUCUUCUUCUGUUUAACCAAAAACAGUAAGAAAAUAUAUUUCUCCAGCUUAAUACCCUUUCCAUACUUUUCUCUUUAGGAAAGGACGCAGAAAGCUAAGAACAAACAAUAACAACAACAAACCAAAAUCUAAAUGAAUUAAGUGCAGAAAUCUUGUUCUUUUCCCCAACUCUUGAAGUGAUUAUCCUUGUGGCCCAGCUCCAGACAAGACCUUCUUCUUGAUUAUAAGAAGGCUUCUCAAUCCCUUGGGGGAUUGGUAUAGGAAAGACCUAAAUAGUUCUUGACACCCCUCCCCCCCAACCAAAAAGCUAUAUUUUAACUUUUUUGAUCCUUUCUUAUUUCAGGAUUCUUUUAAAUGUUGCUUCAGAUUGUCUUGGAGUAGAGAGAUGUUUUGGAGUAUCAGUAUAGCUUCUGCCAGUUUUGACAUUUCUCUUUUUAGGCUAGAAAUGCUUGGAUUUAAGAUGUUAAAUAGUUUUAAAAAAUCAUUUCUGGCAGACUUGGGCCUACCACACAAAGUGGUCAUAUAUAUAUAUUUUUUUUUGACACCAUCCUGGCGAGUCUUUAUCUUUCACAUCUCCUCCUCUGGACAAUCUUGAUUUAGUCAACAUCCCUUUAAAGGGGGUGUCCAGAACUGAGUCCAGGACUCCAGAUAUGGACCAACACAAGUGUGCCAGCCAAAGCUAAUAGCAUUCUGUGGUUGUUUGAACCCACCGGGGACCUGUUUCAGAAGUUCACAUUGCCCCCUCCUCCCUUCUCAGCUCUUCAGUGGUAGCUUCCUUCUCAAUGAAUCACCCUCCCACUGUCUCCCAUCCCUGAAAAUUUGGAUUAAGCUUUAUCAGGUUUGAGAGGCUUUUCUUUGCUGCUAUUUUCCCUUUAUUAUUUAUUCAAUGUGUCAAGGUGAAAUAGGUUGCUUAUUAAAGCUUCUCUGGGUUGGCGUAUUUAUCUCUGCCCAGCCUAUUCACUCCACCCAGAAGUGGGAUGUGGCAAGUCCUUUGAUAAAAGGGUUGAGACUUGGACUCUGGUCAUCAGAUAAAUUUUAUUCCCAGUUCGUCACUGGGAGGAGCAUCUGUUUCCUCUUACGGACAUCCUCUUUGGCCCAACAUAUGCCCCUGGCAUCAGUCCCACAAAAGGCUAACACGGUAUCUUCUCUUUUUGCUUUGAAUAGACCAGGGUAUCUUCUCUCUGUUGAUAAUUUAGCCUGUUCAUAUUUUGCUCCAGCUUAAUUGUUUACAUGUUCUCUACCCUAUUAGGACAGUGAGUUUCUUGAAAUCGGGGACUUUUUUUUGUUUGUUGUUGACUUUAUUAUUAAUUUUUUUUUUUUUUUUUGCCUUUCUUUGCAUCCCCAGCUUUAGCAUAGUGUCUAGCCUCAGUGAAUACUUAUUGACUUUUGGGGCAUUAGUAACAAUAGGGGAGGAAAGAGUCUAUUCAUAGUUCCACCUAGUCAUCCCUUUAUUAACAUAUGUUGGUAGUCCAGGACUUCCCUUUCCAUUCCUGCUUUCUUAUUUCCUUAGACCUUGCCACUGCUGAUCCAUGGCUAAAACCAGUGUAGUAGUAGUAGUAGUAAUAAUAACAACAACAAUAAUAAUAAUAAUAAACAACUGGCAGUCAUAUUGUGCUUUCCAGUUAGCAAAAUAAAAGUGCGAAAUGUUCCAUGCCUUACUCCAUUGCUCCGCUUGUGCCCAGCACGGCCCCUCAUGCAGGCAGGGACUUGGGGACAAUCACCACUAUUCUUUUGAGCUAAAGCUCUGGCUGGGAUCCUGUAUGUGGGUUUGAGGCACCUUGACCCAGCUUCCCUUCCUACAAAGGCUCCUGUUGUUUGGACCCUGCAGAAGAAUUGGGAUCUUAAUCCUAGGUGGAAUUCAGCUAGUGUGUGGGAUUAGUGGCUGAUUAUUCUCCCUCAAUAGAAGCAGGAACUUCCAGGACCUUUCUAGGGAUUUUCUGAAACCCCAGAGCAGCAACUAUCUAAAUAAAAUCACUAAAACUUAAUGACCCUUUUGAUAAAUAUAAACAAAAAAAAAAAAAAAAAGGAAGCCGGAAGAAAAUGAUAGAUACUUAUUUCAUCAAGGAUUUGUGAGUUCAGUUCUUCUAGUCUUAGUAAUAGAUAAUCUAGUAAAUCAAACCAGUUUUCUGAGGGUGAACUUGUCCAAACUGAACUGAGCUGGUCCUCCAAAGGUCCUUCGCUGGGCCUGUUCUGGAAGUUUUUCUCAUCUUGGCUCCUUAGCUUGCAAAUUGCUGCAGUCAUCUCAACAUUGCAGCUGGACAACAGAAUGAGAAAGAUUUCAGUAGAGAAAUAAAAUCAUAGUCUUAAUAAUAUCCUUACUAUUUAUCCCUUUCUAAAUGGCCUUUUUGUUCACUUACUUAUACUUUACUAUCUCUUUGUGUAGAUCUGGACAUGUUAGUUCUCUGCUAGGCUUCCAAUUGCCUGUCAAAUAAAACCAGUCCUCCUUUGCCAAGUAUUAAUACCAAUAUUUAACAAUAAAUUGAUACUCUGUCCUUCUUAGAUUUAUUUCCUAUUACUUAGACUCAGAGUAUUUGAUGGGACUUCAAAGACCACCUAGCUUCAGCUCAUAUCUGAACAAGAAUCCUCUUUAAACAUUUCUGACAAGUGAGUGUUCUCGUAUCCCAGUAUUUGUCCCCAAUUGGGACAAAUUGUAGAUCUGUUACUUCCCUCGUUCUGUAGAGUAAGCCUUUUAAAAAUCCAGCCUAAAAUCAUAUGAAAGUUUUUUUGCUUAAUAUUUUUCUUUUAUUUUUGAAUUCUUUAUAUCUUAG
ensembl:lncRNA